UCCAGAACUGGGUUUGGGUAAGUUAUGGGUCUUAACGUCAAAUACUAGGAGUUCCAUGCUCUCUUAUGUCUUGACUGCUCCAGCUUGGACAUAAGCUGAUUCUUGGAUUGCUAGUGUUUGGAGUAUUUAGAUCUGACCUAACAGCAUCCUGCUUGAGAAUGAAGAUAGGGAUGCAAAUCGGAUGGAUCGGAUUGGGUCAUAAGUGACCCCGAUCUGAUUUGAUUUUUUGAUCAGGUCUUAAUGUUGGAUUUAUAUUUAAUCCGGGUUGAGUCAGAUCAAAAUUUUUGAUCCAACGGGUCAUUCAGAUUGAGUUUAUAUAUAAUUCGGUUCCAAUCCAAAUAAUUUGGAUCUAGUUAGGUCUGGUUCAGGACCCAAUCAGAUUCUAGAUAUAUUAUACUUGCUCUAAUAAAUUCUAGACCUGGUUUUUAUGGCCUUACAUAAGACUAGCUCGAGCCAUAGUAUCUUUGAAAAUAGGUGCAAGAUCUCAAUCCGCAAAUAAAAUUGAGCUAUAUGAUGAUUCUGAUCGGAGUUCUGAAGUGCAAAAUUGAACAUAAAAAAUGUAUAAUAAUAAGCCAAACAACCAUAUUGCUAGUUGUUUGAAAUUGCUAAUCAUAAGCCAACAGAGGAAAAAUCCCUAGAAAGAUGGGAUAGUUUUAGAAGCAAGUCCCUAUAACAUGGCCUCAAUUGUGUUUCUAAUGAAAGAAAAACAACAAAUAUUUUAGCUAAACUGUCUUUUAGAUGGUAACAUAAGCUCACCAUAUCUUCACAAACACUAGGAUGUCUGGAUAUGUGAACGUUAAGUAUUGCCUAGCUACUUAUAAUUGUACAAUGUAUAUAAGUGAUAAUUUAUAACAUUCACCCAGUUUGUUGUGUCUAGAAGUAAAUAUAAAGCUGUAUCCUGUUAAGCCUUUAAUCAAAAUUAUAGUGAUACUAUCAAUAACAACCAUACUAAGAAAAAGGCCAAAAUUUGAGUUAUUUUACUCAACUCAAAGUCAGGAAAAUACAAACAUUCAGAUAAUUGCCAUUUCCAGCAAACCGAAGUGACUAAUUGAGGAACCAAUACGAGCCAUGUCUAGGGUUCGAGUCAUAGUCUUGGUUUUUGGUAUUGUAUCGGUGUGACAUGAGCCUCCAUUUCCAAUGUGCCAUUGCUGUAGUCCAUCUCAUUCAUGUCAUUGGCCUGAAGCAAGCAGUCGAAGGGGACUGACAUGGAUUAGUUUGCAAUUAAUGUCACUUGCUCAUAGUGGGAUGCAGGAUAACUUAGAAGAAGUAGGCAUAUUCUCUUGCUUUAGGUUCCUGAGGGUCCACUCUUUCACUAUCGGUAG
rnacentral:lncRNA from 1 species